ACGGAAGACGGGGAUUACCAGGUAAAACUACGCAACCUGGUACGUUUCCUUAGCGAGGGGGACAAGGCCAAGGUAUCCCUGCGAUUCCGCGGUCGUGAGAUGGCCCACCAGGAGCUGGGCAUGGAGCUGUUGAAGCGGGUCGAAACCGACCUCGCCGAAUACGGCGCCGUCGAACAGCAUCCGAAGAUGGAAGGACGCCAGCUGAUCAUGGUCAUCGCCCCCAAAAAGAAAAAAUAACCCACCAGGGCACUGGCAGGCCUUGCGGUUAUGCGUAAUCACUCAAUGCGGAGUAUCCGAACAUGCCAA
rnacentral:misc_RNA from 1 species